rnacentral:rRNA from 1 species
GCCUGACCGAGCAACGCCGCGUGAGUGAUGAAGGUUUUCGGAUUGUAAAGCUCUGUCUUCCGGGACGAUAAUGACGGUACCGGAGGAGGAAGCCACGGCUAACUACGUGCCAGCAGCCGCGGUAAUACGUAGGUGGCGAGCGUUGUCCGGAAUUACUGGGCGUAAAGGGCGCGUAGGCGGCCUGUCAAGUCAGAUGUGAAAUCCCCGGGCUUAACCCGGGAACUGCAUUUGAAACUGGCGGGCUUGAGGGCAGGAGAGGAAAGCGGAACUCCCAGUGUAGCGGUGAAAUGCGUAGAUAUUGGGAGGAACACCAGUGGCGAAGGCGGCUUUCUGGACUGUCACUGACGCUGAGGCGCGAAAGCCAGGGGAGCGAACGGGAUUAGAUACCCCGGUAGUCCUGGCUGUAAACGAUGGGUACUAGGUGUUGGGGGUAUCGACCCCUCCAGUGCCGCAGUUAACGCAAUAAGUACCCCGCCUGGGGAGUACGGCCGCAAGAUUAAAACUCAAAGGAAUUGACGGGGGCCCGCACAAGCAGCGGAGCAUGUGGUUUAAUUCGAAGCAACGCGAAGAACCUUAC